rnacentral:rRNA from 1 species
UACGAGUGCCCCAAGCGUUAUCCGGAAUUAUUGGGCGUAAAGGGUCCGCAGGCGGUCCUAUUAGUCUUAUGUGAAAGCUCCCGGCUCAACUGGGAAAACGCAUAGGAAACGGUAGGACUUGAGGAUGUGAGAGGUAUGUGGAACUCAUGGUGUAGGGGUGAAAUCCGUUGAUAUCAUGGGGAACACCAAAUGCGAAGGCAACAUACUGGCACAUUUCUGACGCUCAGGGACGAAAGCAUGGGUAGCGAAUGGG